rnacentral:lncRNA from 1 species
CGCACACGACGUUCCACCGACCUAAUAGAUCAAAGAUAAUGUAGUACCACCUCGCCUACCGACCCAAAAACGCAUAGAGGAGGAGGACUAUAUAAGGAGACCCCCCUGGCCCCUGGAGGAGACAAGAAAUUAUCAUAGAGAUUGAGGGGUGCCCUCGAAGGAAAACCUCUUCUCUAAAUAAUAUUUCUUUUUAGGCUUAGCAACUAAUGUAAGUAGAAAUAGAUCUUCUAGUUUCUACUAGAUUGAGAGAGAUAGAGUGGAGGUGUAGAUCGGAGGAAGGCCGGCCUGUCGGUGUCUACUCCGAGUUGUACCUGCGGGAUCAAGUCUCCUAACCCGAGGCUUGCUUCUAAGAUUCUUCAGUAAUUCGACUUCUAAUUCUAGUAAGUUCUUGUUUUAUUGUUCUUUGGUUUAUGAGUUUACUUUAAUCCUCUUCCGGUUGAGUAUUAGAGUAAUCAUUGCUAGCGUAAACGUGGUGUUUAGGCUAGGGUACUCAUAGAUAUCUCCUGACUAGCUGGACCGUGGUAGUAGCGAGGAACAUGACAUUUCCGAGUUACCUUUGUAUCCCAUAUCUUGUUAGCAGGACGGGUAGGUUUAUAGGUGCGGGUCGAACAUCCUUUGUGUUGUCUAGAUUCCGUGAGCCUCCCCAAUAGAACAAUAGAUCAUCCUUACCAAGGUUAGAACGAGACUACGGUUGCAGUCUUCUCUAUACAUCACUCACAUCGAGAAACAUUCUUUAUAGCCUAAAGGGGUAGUAGCAAUAGAUUUGGUUAGUCAGAUGCACCCUUUCUCCUAGUGGUAAAAAUAUAAAUACGAUAACUCUGGAAAACCUCCCGGGUGAAAUGCUCACCGAUAUCCGUGCGCUUGCGGAUCAUUUUCUAAUUGCGUUACCAAAUAUCAACAAGCAUUUCUGGCGCCGUUGCCGGGGAGAAAGACGGUUUGCUGAGAUAACUUUGAGUCUUGCUAUUAUCUUGUAUUAUACUUCUAUUCUUUUAUCUUUUUACUUUUAUUUUUAUGGAUAACUUAAAUUCCAUACCUAUUAUUGAAUUCUUUGCACCUUCGGAGACCAGCCAUAGACCAUGGGAGUCAACAAGUCCUGCCCCUAAUUAUGAUCUAUGUCCGGAGUUGAUUGCAAUAGGUCAAAACCAACCCUUUUCCAUAGCCGAGGUCCUAUCUUUUAAUCAAGAAGAUAAUGCACUUUUAGCUACACCUUGGGAAUCUGUUAAUCUUUCUAUAAAUUCUGGUUUAGACCUAGCCCUACAAGACCAUGUUUUUCCUCGAUAUUUUCAUAUUGGUCUUAAUCAUAUAACCUUUGGUAGAAUCAUUCUUUCUUUAUCUAUUAGUAAAGGAAGGUAUGUCUUCAUUUGUGGACAUCCUUCUUGUACUAUUCUUCAUAGAAAAAUCUUAGAGAUAGAGAAGGAAUCAUCUCCCAGACAAGGAAAGGAAGUUUUAAUAGCCAAUUUCCAAACAUUUCAAUCCCAUGAUUCGGCUAUCCAACCCAUACUUGAGCUUAAUAAUCUCUACUAUGCUAUUUCUCUUGAACCUCCCGAUAAUCCUAUAAAUCUAUCUAGACAUCCCAUGCAUAAGAAGGAGGAUCAAGAAGAGCAACAUCAAUGGCUAGAGGGCAUUAAAAAUCCAUGUGCUAUCACCAUUGAAUGGAUAGAUAAAACAAACUUGAGAGACAAUCCUAGAGGAAUUUUAAGCAUUCAUGAAGAAUCAUCCUUGGAGUUUGAGAAUGAGAGAAACAACAGUGAGCAUGGAAGUUAUUUCAUAAAUACCUUACCAAGUCCUUGCUCAUAUAAAACAUCUCCCCAAUCAAUUGGUCUCUCCAUCCUUACCACAUUUGAGAUCUCCAACCCCCUCUUCCUUUCUAUUUAUAAAAACUUUAAAAGAGCGGUUGUCGAUGCAUAUGUCUAUAAUAAAUAUUGCAGAUCUCGUUGAGUUAAUUGAUGGUUUCCCAAGGACAAGCUUAGUGUCCUAAAACAAGCACUUAUCAGAUCGUAACAUGAACUUCUAAUUAUUUGCAACAUUGCCUUGUGUAUUGAGCAUAUAAGGAUAAUUGUAGAAAUAUUCCUUCGGGUAUUCUUGCCACUAACCUUUCCAGGUUUGGAGCAAGAAGAUCGGAUGAAUGACAAGCACUAGGUAUGUCCAACAACCAUCACACAACAUUGAAUUAAAUUCAUCCAAACUUGAAUUUUCCAAAAUUCAAGCUUGGGGGAAAUACUUUACAUAAAAACAUCAUUUGCCAUGUUGCUAUGUUGGUUGUCCUUACCUUUGAGACAUGCUCAAUUUGUUAAAUACUAAUCACACUACUUCAUCUCCACUUAAGUAGAUCUCUAUAAGCCAUCAUGCUACCUUUGUUUAUCCUAGUAAGUGUUAGUUUGGAAGUACUGUACAUACUUCUAUUGGCUUUUAAAUUAAGCGUGGUGCUUAGGUUAAAUAGCCUUCCUUAAUCUGAUUAGACAUGGAGUCUAGUUUGGUUACUGAACUAAAAACUGCUUGAGUAGAUAUUGGCAUAUUUUGUUGGACUAACCCCUACAGGAAAACUUUCAACCUGGGAAGUCCUGAGAUACAAACUCAUUGGAGAUAAAGGAGACACAUGAAGUUUAACAAUUUGCACAAGAAGGACAUAGCUCAUUCAUCAUAAAGAGAUGAUCUAUGGAGGGUGCCACAAACACGAUGCACAACCGCUAAGAAAGGAAAGCUUCCACAAGGUGAUAUUGUACCGUCACUCUUCAAGUAAGGUAACACCUUAUGGUACUUGACUAUCGCUUUUAUAAGCUUCUCCUUGGUUCUAGCAUUCACAUAAAUAAAGAGACAAACAUGUAUGAUUUAUAACUCCAGAUUAACCAACUCAAUUAAUUCAUCAUGUUUAGUCCUUAAUCUUUGUUCUUAGUACUACCUUCGUGAUCCCAUACUCCUAAUCAUAUAAGUUAAAAUGUUGCACAUUCAAUAUUUGGAAGAUAUAAACAAAACAUAAAUAUAGAUAGAUUAUCUUUCCAUUACGUUGAGCCAUCUGAUCUAACAAAUGUUUUAAAUGCUACACUCAUGAUCCAUCAACUUUGUCUUGCUCACUAUGCUUAAGGUUAGAGAAGAACAAAUACACUUUUGGUUUUGUUGGUGUUUUCCACCAACAGGGCCCAUGCACUUGAUCUCUGCCUUGUCUCUAUGAAUAGGUACACUUCAAACAAAAUAUGGAGGAGUUUUACAACUCCCAGAUUCCACCAAGUGAAGAACCGGGAUCUACGAGCACAAACACAAUGGAGAUCAGACACUUAGUUUCCCAAAGGAAAUAUUGAAGAACCUCUGUGUCCGAGUUGGUACCUUGUACGCUCCAGCAAACUUUGUGGUUGAGGAGAGGGCACCCAUCAUCUUAGGGAGGCCAUUCCUAAACACCAGAGCUGUCAUCUACGCUAAUGCUGCCAAGAUCCGUUUCUACAUCAAGGGGGAGAAGGAGACUUUCCUUCAAGAACAAGACUACACAAAUUUCAGAGCAAUCCCGACAUGAACCAAGGAAGAGGACCAACAGGAGGAACAGGAACAAGCAAAUGUGGACCGAGUCAGCUAAGAUGGUCACUGCAGCUCAAGGAGGUCAAGAUCGUCGACUCAAGUCACCUUUCUUGAUCAAGAAGGACGAUCCUGGUGUUCCAAGCAUCGAGUGCUCAAUCAAUGGAUACUCUUUUCAGAAGACACUCUACGACAUCGGAUCUAACGACAACGGGAUUACAUAGAGAUAUCAACGCACCGCGCAAUUUUCUACCAUCUAGAAGACUCCAGAAGCCACGGGAAGGAAGCGGAGGCCGAAAGGGGCCAGGCCCAGGGCGCCCGCCCUGAGGACCUGGGCGCCCGCCCCCCUUUGGACUCUGUUCGGGACUCUCUUCGCACACGACGUUCCACCGACCUAAUAGAUCAAAGAUAAUGUAGUACCACCUUGCCUACCGACCCAAAAACGCAUAGAGGAGGAGGACUAUAUAAGGACACCCCCUGGCCCCUGGAGGAGACAAGAAAUUAUCAUAGAGAUUGAGAGGUGCCCUCAAAGGAAAACCUCUUCUCUAAAUAAUAUUUCUUUUUAGGCUUAGCAACCAAUGUAAGUAGAAAUAGAUCUUCUAGUUUCUACUAGAUUGAGAGAGAUAGAGUGGAGGUGUAGAUCGGAGGAAGGCCG